rnacentral:rRNA from 1 species
UACGUAGGCAGCAAGCGUUGUUCGGAGUUACUGGGCGUAAAGGGCGCGUAGGCGGCAUGACAAGUCACUUGUGAAAUCUCCGGGCUUAACUCGGAACGGCCAAGUGAUACUGUCAAGCUAGAGUGCAGAAAGGGCAAUCGGAAUUCUUGGUGUAGCGGUGAAAUGCGUAGAUAUCAAGAGGAACACCUGAGGCGAAGGCGGGUUGCUAGGCUGACACUGACGCUGACAGCGCGAAAGCCAGGGGAGCAAACGGG